rnacentral:rRNA from 1 species
GACGAACGCUGGCGGCGUGCUUAACACAUGCAAGUCGUACGGUAAGGCCCUUUCGGGGGUACACGAGUGGCGAACGGGUGAGUAACUCGUGAGUAACCUGCCCACAACUUUGGGAUAACGCUAGGAAACUGGUGCUAAUACUGGAUAUGUGCUCCUGCUGCAUGGUGGGGGUUGGAAAGCUCCGGCGGUUGUGGAUGGACUCGCGGCCUAUCAGCUUGUUGGUGGGGUAGUGGCCUACCAAGGCGGCGACGGGUAGCCGGCCUGAGAGGGUGACCGGCCACAUUGGGACUGAGAUACGGCCCAGACUCCUACGGGAGGCAGCAGUGGGGAAUAUUGCACAAUGGGCGCAAGCCUGAUGCAGCAACGCCGCGUGCGGGAUGACGGCCUUCGGGUUGUAAACCGCUUUCAGCAGGGACGAAGCUUUUUGUGACGGUACCUGCAGAAGAAGCACCGGCUAACUACGUG